rnacentral:lncRNA from 1 species
CCUGGAGGCCAACACACUUCACCGCGUCCGCCUGGGGCAGGUCAGAUAAGGGACCCGAGGCAGCGCUAUCACCGGAUUCCGUGAGCCGCAGCGCCCUGGGCCCCGCUGAUCUUGUAUCAUUUCAGGGACUUUCUCUCCAGUCUUUGAUGGGGCCACACUCGGGGAGUAAAUUAGGAUCCUCAUUGAAGGGGCAGGACCCUGGGGGGCUUUUUCCUGGCCUGUUAGUUGUGGGUUUUCCUUCGGACGGCGGAGCCCCUUUCCAUUAGAACGGCCCAGAGGCAGGCGCUGCCUUCCCGGGGAGACGGAGCAGCAGGAAGCGUUUUCAGAUCCUGGAAUCCGUGGGCGGCCCGUGGGAGGGACUGAGGCGCAUUUUCCUACUCACCUGGCUCGGAAUCCACCGCGGUGCUGUUUAAAGAGAGUCAGAUUCCAGGUCGCGCUCCAGCCCGGACUCGGAAUUCCUGCCCCGCGGGUCUGCAUUUCACAGCGGCAGGUACCAGGGCGGGGUGACGGGUCAUCCCAGUCCUCGCAGUGAACUCCGGGCCACAGACUUGAAAACGCGCGCGGGCGCCCAGCGCAGCCUCGUCCUGAGUUACACAAGCGACCGUGCUGGGACGUUUCUCUUUCUUUUCCGGACCCAGCAGUGGCGCCUAAAGUCUGCGAGGAGAAAAUCUCCUGUGUGCUGGGCCCCACAGUCUUCAUUACAACCUCACAGUGCUGUCCCGGGAUGGAUCUGUGCAGUGAGGGUUUCUCGCUGAGGGACAUCUGGAUGGUCAGCCCUUCCUGCUCUAUGACAGGCAGAAAUGCAACGCAAGGCCCCAGGGACAGUGGGCGGAAGCGGUUCUGGCAGCUGAGACCUGGGACAUGGAGACUGAGGACUUGACAGAGAACAGGCCGUACCUCAGAAGGGCCCUGGUACAUAUCAAGGGCCAGAAAGGAGAGCCACUGGAAAAAGACAGCGGGUCAAGGACUGAAGAGUCCAGUGUCAUAAUCUGGGGAAGCAGUGGGCCCUCUGACAGAAGCCUGAACCUGGGUGGGUGUCAGGCAGGAGAGGAAGCCCCAGGGCCAAGGCUGCCCCAUCUGCCUCCCAGCCUGCCCAUUCCAAAGAGUUCCUCUGGCCCCAUGUACCAGGAGCCCAAUCCUGACCUUCCCCUCCUCAGCAUCAAUGCAGGGAUCCCAGAGCAUAAAGACACAGUCUUGAGGCCCAUCCUUCUGCCAGCCUAG